GUGCUCGCUUCAGCAGCACAUGUGCUGAAACUGGAACAAUACCGAGAAGAUCAGCGUGGCUCCUGCUCAAGGAUGAUGUGCAAAUGCGUGAAGCAUUCCAUAAUUUU
ensembl:snRNA U6 U6 spliceosomal RNA